AACACAUGCAAGUCGAACGGAAAGGCCCUGCUUUUGUGGGGUGCUCGAGUGGCGAACGGGUGAGUAACACGUGAGUAACCUGCCCUUGACUUUGGGAUAACUUCAGGAAACUGGGGCUAAUACCGGAUAGGAGCUCCUGCUGCAUGGUGGGGGUUGGAAAGUUUCGGCGGUUGGGGAUGGACUCGCGGCUUAUCAGCUUGUUGGUGGGGUAGUGGCUUACCAAGGCUUUGACGGGUAGCCGGCCUGAGAGGGUGACCGGCCACAUUGGGACUGAGAUACGGCCCAGACUCCUACGGGAGGCAGCAGUGGGGAAUAUUGCACAAUGGGCGGAAGCCUGAUGCAGCAACGCCGCGUGCGGGAUGACGGCCUUCGGGUUGUAAACCGCUUUCGCCUGUGACGAAGCGUGAGUGACGGUAAUGGGUAAAGAAGCACCGGCUAACUACGUGCCAGCAGCCGCGGUGAUACGUAGGGUGCGAGCGUUGUCCGGAUUUAUUGGGCGUAAAGGGCUCGUAGGUGGUUGAUCGCGUCGGAAGUGUAAUCUUGGGGCUUAACCCUGAGCGUGCUUUCGAUACGGGUUGACUUGAGGAAGGUAGGGGAGAAUGGAAUUCCUGGUGGAGCGGUGGAAUGCGCAGAUAUCAGGAGGAACACCAGUGGCGAAGGCGGUUCUCUGGGCCUUUCCUGACGCUGAGGAGCGAAAGCGUGGGGAGCGAACAGGCUUAGAUACCCUGGUAGUCCACGCUGUAAACGGUGGGUACUAGGUGUGGGGUCCAUUCCACGGGUUCCGUGCCGUAGCUAACGCUUUAAGUACCCCGCCUGGGGAGUACGGCCGCAAGGCUAAAACUCAAAGGAAUUGACGGGGCCCCGCACAAGCGGCGGAGCAUGCGGAUUAAUUCGAUGCAACGCGUAGAACCUUACCUGGGUUUGACAUGGAUCGGGAGUGCUCAGAGAUGGGUGUGCCUCUUUUGGGGUCGGUUCACAGGUGGUGCAUGGCUGUCGUCAGCUCGUGUCGUGAGAUGUUGGGUUAAGUCCCGCAACGAGCGCAACCCUUGUUCACUGUUGCCAGCACGUUAUGGUGGGGACUCAGUGGAGACCGCCGGGGUCAACUCGGAGGAAGGUGGGGAUGACGUCAAGUCAUCAUGCCCCUUAUGUCCAGGGCUUCACGCAUGCUACAAUGGCUGGUACAGAGAGUGGCGAGCCUGUGAGGGUGAGCGAAUCUCGGAAAGCCGGUCUCAGUUCGGAUUGGGGUCUGCAACUCGACCUCAUGAAGUCGGAGUCGCUAGUAAUCGCAGAUCAGCAACGCUGCGGUGAAUACGUUCCCGGGGCUUGUACACACCGCCCGUCAAGUCAUGAAAGUUGGUAACACCCGAAGCCGGUGGCCUAACCGUUGUGGGGGAGCCGUCGAAGGUGGGACUGGUGAUUAGGACUAAGUCAUA
rnacentral:rRNA from 1 species